rnacentral:rRNA from 1 species
CCAGCAGCCGCGGUAAUACGGAGGGUGCAAACGUUGUUCGGAAUCAUUGGGCGUAAAGAGCACGUAGGCGGUCCAGCUAGUCUGAUGUGAAAGCCCGGGGCUCAACCUCGGAAAGCCAUUGGAAACUACUGGACUUGAGUUUGAGAGGGGUUUGUGGAAUUCCUGGUGUAGGGGUGAAAUCCGUAGAGAUCAGGAGG